rnacentral:rRNA from 1 species
AGAGUUUGAUCCUGGCUCAGAACGAACGCUGGCGGCGUGCCUAACACAUGCAAGUCGUACGAGAAAAUCCGCUUCGGCGGGUGAGUAGAGUGGCGCACGGGUGAGUAACGCGUGGAUAAUCUGCCUUUAAGCUGGGAAUAACUCACCGAAAGGUGGGCUAAUACCCGAUAAUGCUAUGGGACUUCGGUUUUAUAGCCAAAGAGAGCCUCUACAUGUAAGCCUUCACUUAAAGAUGAGUCCGCGUACCAUUAGCUAGUUGGUAGGGUAAUGGCCUACCAAGGCGACGAUGGUUAGCUGGUCUGAGAGGAUGAUCAGCCACACUGGAACUGAGACACGGUCCAGACUCCUACGGGAGGCAGCAGUGAGGAAUAUUGCGCAAUGGGGGCAACCCUGACGCAGCAACGCCGCGUGAGUGAGGAAGGUCUUCGGAUCGUAAAGCUCUGUCGGGUGGGAAGAAGUGUGCAUAGGUUAAUAGCCUGUGCACUUGACGGUACCGCCAAAGGAAGCACCGGCUAACUCCGUGCCAGCAGCCGCGGUAAUACGGGGGGUGCGAGCGUUGUUCGGAAUCAUUGGGCGUAAAGAGCGUGUAGGCGGCUAGGCAAGUCAGAUGUGAAAUCCCUGGGCUUAACCCAGGAAGUGCAUUUGAAACUGCUUAGCUUGAGUAAGGAAGAGGGAAGUGGAAUUCCUGGUGUAGAGGUGAAAUUCGUAGAUAUCAGGAGGAACACCGGUGGCGAAGGCGACUUCCUGGUCCUAUACUGACGCUGAGACGCGAGAGCGUGGGGAGCAAACAGGAUUAGAUACCCUGGUAGUCCACGCCGUAAACGAU